rnacentral:rRNA from 1 species
GACCGGCGCACGGGUGCGUAACGCGUAUGCAAUCUACCUUUCACAGAGGGAUAGCCCAGAGAAAUUUGGAUUAAUACCUCAUAGUAUAAUGAGUUGGCAUCAACACAUUAUUAAAGUCACAACGGUGAAAGAUGAGCAUGCGUCCCAUUAGCUAGAUGGUAAGGUAACGGCUUACCAUGGCUACGAUGGGUAGGGGUCCUGAGAGGGAGAUCCCCCACACUGGUACUGAGACACGGACCAGACUCCUACGGGAGGCAGCAGUGAGGAAUAUUGGACAAUGGGCGCAAGCCUGAUCCAGCCAUGCCGCGUGCAGGAUGACGGUCCUAUGGAUUGUAAACUGCUUUUGUACAGGAAGAAACACUGGUUCGUGAACCAGCUUGACGGUACUGUAAGAAUAAGGAUCGGCUAACUCCGUGCCAGCAGCCGCGGUAAUACGGAGGAUCCAAGCGUUAUCCGGAAUCAUUGGGUUUAAAGGGUCCGUA